rnacentral:rRNA from 1 species
UGGGGAAUAUUGCACAAUGGGCGCAAGCCUGAUGCAGCCAUGCCGCGUGUGUGAAGAAGGCCUUCGGGUUGUAAAGCACUUUCAGCGAGGAGGAAGGUGGUGAACUUAAUACGUUCAUCAAUUGACGUUACUCGCAGAAGAAGCACCGGCUAACUCCGUGCCAGCAGCCGCGGUAAUACGGAGGGUGCAAGCGUUAAUCGGAAUUACUGGGCGUAAAGCGCACGCAGGCGGUUUGUUAAGUCAGAUGUGAAAUCCCCGGGCUCAACCUGGGAACUGCAUUUGAAACUGGCAAGCUAGAGUCUCGUAGAGGGGGGUAGAAUUCCAGGUGUAGCGGUGAAAUGCGUAGAGAUCUGGAGGAAUACCGGUGGCGAAGGCGGCCCCCCUGGACGAAGACUGACGCUCAGGUGCGAAAAGCGUGGGGAGCAAAACAGGAUUAGAUACCCUGGUAGUCCACGCUGUAAACGAUGUCGAUUUUGGAGGUUGUGCCCCUUGAGGCGUGGCUUCCGGAGCUAACGCGUU